rnacentral:rRNA from 1 species
CACACGACUCUCGGCAACGGAUAUCUCGGCUCUCGCAUCGAUGAAGAACGUAGCGAAAUGCGAUACCUGGUUUGAAUUGCAGAAUCCCGCGAACCAUCGAGUCUUUGAACGCAAGUUGCGCCCGAGGCCACUCGGCCGAGGGCACGCCUGCCUGGGCGUCACGC